AGUGAUGAUUGAACUAGAACACAAGAAUCUUAGCAUGAAAAGAAUAGAAGCACACAAAGUUCACGUCUGAUAUUGAUAACAAACAGAAUCCUCUUGGAACUGUUGGCUGGGACUUUUACCACUUGUACUACUGGUCCAAUAGAUUUGUCACGAUUCAAUUCCUCCACUCCAUCUCUAGCCCUAUCCCCUUCUUAAUAGAUUGGGAGACUGAGUAGCAAUAACUAAUCAGAACUUCAUCUUAUGAGGAAUGGAAAGAUGAAGAACAAGGACAACAACUGAGAGCCAACUACUGCCUUAAUAGGACAUCAGCAAACAACAAUAAACAACACACAUCCCCUCCACGAAGCAAAAACAAUUAUCUACAGACUUAGGAAUCUUAAAAUCUAGGUGGCAUUAAGAAUCAAAUGUCAGAAGGCAUUCAAAAUAUAACCUCAGAAUAGUCAUGAACUGGUUAAAAAGUCAAGAUUCAAAAUUAUCCACAAAUCCAGAAAUUGAAAAUGGUACAUAAGCUGUAGUUCAGGUAUCCAUUUCAUGGUAAUUUGUAAUCCCCAAAUAGACCUUCCACAUAUUCCAAAGUUCUGAAACACACACUCUUUGAGCAUACACAUCCAUUUGUUAUCCCAGCUCCAACUUAAAACUCCACUGGCAGCUAUGAUGAACCCAAAAUUUAACAAUAUUUUCCAAAAUCUCACAUAACUGGCAAUUUUGGCCAAAAUUGUGCUAAAUUUAGUUAUCAUUUUUAACUAGAGUCAUUAUCAGAACUUUCCAAAUAAAAAAAGGUAAUAAGAUGUAAGAACCUCAUAUAUCCUCAGCACAUGAGUUAAGUGUGAAGGGAUGUUCUGAUUCAAUAAAGUAACAAGAUAACAAGUUUUAAGGUAUCAGUACGCACACGAGCAACCAGUCGAGUGUAAGUGUCCCAAAUGUAGGUUUAUAAUUAAGAACAUAGCAUAGAAAAAAAGCAUUUCCUGUAACAAGAACUCCCAUUUAUAAGAAUUAAUAAGAUUCUCUAUUGCAACUUAAACAAAUGAGGUUAUGAUUAUUUCAACUCCUGGACCGUUAAUCCCCUCCCAGCAAAAAAAUCCCUACCAACUUUAAAAUUUUCGAAGAAGUCAAGAUACAGGAGUUCUAAAUACCUUUUUACAGCAAUUGGAUAAUUACAUUACUAUAAUUAGUCCCAAAAGAGAUUAUAUAACAAAGAAGCACAUCAUCAAAUUAAAGGCAUGAUCUAAAAUCAUCCUAACUAUCCCUGUAAAGCAUUUGGAUAUUCAACACUUAACUUUGGGUAUGACUAAGAUGGAAAUCUUCUACUUCUUCUACCUUUUUUUUUUUUUUCGUGGAUUUGGAAGCGCCUAACAAUUAAUCGGUCGAUCAGGCAGAUAAAAAGAAAAAUAUCAUAAAGGGUAAAUUUUCCGUGCACCUCAGAUCUAGAACAUUCCAUAAAAAUAUUUCGAAAUCACCUCCCUCAGUUCCAAGUCAGUAGUAAAACAAAUACCCUAAAUCACCAAGUACGAAAAUCAAACAAAUUUACAAAUUUCACGCCUACCUGGAAUUAAUCGGGAAACAACCAGAAAUAAAAAAUAAAAAGCAAAACCCUAAAAAGGGUCUAGUUAGUUUCGCUCUAUCAAUAAUACAGUAAAGUCGAUAAGUAGCACACACGAGAGAAUAUAUGAAGACCCAAAAAACUAGGAAGUCCUUGUUUCGAAUUUUUCUUCAAGAAAUGGAAAUCGGAAAAAUUUUAAGUAAUUUGGACGAAAAAGAAUGUAUUUUUCAAUUCAAAUUAAAGCGAGAAGGAGGGGAGCGCGUACGUAGAUUCUUGAAUACAAACAAACAAAAAGAGACUAUAACUGGGGUUCCAAUUCCAUUUAUGUGCGUGCCAAUUGUCAAG
rnacentral:lncRNA from 1 species